rnacentral:rRNA from 1 species
UACGUAGGGGGCAAGCGUUGUCCGGAUUUAUUGGGCGUAAAGAGCUCGUAGGCGGUUUGUCGCGUCUGCCGUGAAAGUCCGGGGCUCAACUCUGGGCGUGCAGUGGGUACGGGCAGACUAGAGUGCGGUAGGGGGAGACUGGAAUUCUUGGUGUAGCGGUGAAAUGCGCAGAUAUCAGGAGGAACACCGGUGGCGAAGGCGGGUCUCUGGGCCAUUACUGACGCUGAGGAGCGAAAGCCAGGGGAGCAAACGGG